UAGGUUAACGAGGCGAACCGGGGGAACUGAAACAUCUAAGUACCCCGAGGAAAAGAAAUCAACCGAGAUUCCCCCAGUAGCGGCGAGCGAACGGGGAGCAGCCCAGAGUCUGAAUCAGCUUGUGUGUUAGUGGAACGGUCUGGAAAGUCCGACGGUACAGGGUGAUAGUCCCGUACACCAAAAUGCACAGGCUGUGAACUCGAAGAGUAGGGCGGGACACGUGGUAUCCUGUCUGAAUAUGGGGGGACCAUCCUCCAAGGCUAAAUACUCCUGACUGACCGAUAGUGAACCAGUACCGUGAGGGAAAGGCGAAAAGAACCCCGGCGAGGGGAGUGAAAAAGAACCUGAAACCGUGUACGUACAAGCAGUGGGAGCACCUUCGGGUGUGACUGCGUACCUUUUGUAUAAUGGGUCAGCGACUUAUAUUCUGUAGCAAGGUUAACCGUAUAGGGGAGCCGCAGGGAAACCGAGUCUUAACUGGGCGUUAAGUUGCAGGGUAUAGACCCGAAACCCGGUGAUCUAGCCAUGGGCAGGUUGAAGGUUGGGUAACACUAACUGGAGGACCGAACCGACUAAUGUUGAAAAAUUAGCGGAUGACUUGUGGCUGGGGGUGAAAGGCCAAUCAAACCGGGAGAUAGCUGGUUCUCCCCGAAAGCUAUUUAGGUAG
rnacentral:rRNA from 1 species